rnacentral:rRNA from 1 species
AUUGAACGCUGGCGGCAUGCCUUACACAUGCAAGUCGAACGGCAGCACGGGAGCAAUCCUGGUGGCGAGUGGCGAACGGGUGAGUAAAGUAUCGGAACGUGCCCAGUCGUGGGGGAUAACGUAGCGAAAGUUACGCUAAUACCGCAUACGAUCUAUGGAUGAAAGCGGGGGAUCGCAAGACCUCGCGCGAUUGGAGCGGCCGAUAUCAGAUCAGGUAGUUGGUGGGGUAAAGGCUCACCAAGCCGACGAUCUGUAGCUGGUCUGAGAGGACGACCAGCCCAACUGGGACUGAGACACGGCCCAGACUCCUACGGGAGGCAGCAGUGGGGAAUUUUGGACAAUGGGCGAAAGCCUGAUCCAGCCAUGCCGCGUGCAGGAUGAAGGCCUUCGGGUUGUAAACUGCUUUUGUACGGAACGAAAAGGUUUGGCCUAAUAAGCUGAGCUCAUGACGGUACCGUAAGAAUAAGCACCGGCUAACUACGUGCCAGCCGCCGCAGUAA